AUAAUUUAACAUGGAAUAUAAUGUAUAAUAUAUAUAUAUAUAUAUAUAUAUAUAUUAAUAUAAUUUAAUAAAUUACAUUAUAUUAAUUUUUAAAAUAUACUGUUUUACAUCUUACAUUUUUUCAAAGUAAGUCAUACUAAAAAGGUAAGCAAUUUUAAAAUUUUAGAUACUUAAUAUAAAUAAUAUUAUAAAAUCAUAUAUAUAUUUACUACGCACGAUAACUUUAUUUUAAAAAAUAUUCAUUUUAGUUGAAAAUCAAUUUCGAAAGUAAAAUUUAAAUAAAUUAUAUUUUUUUUCCAAAACUGAUAUUAAAGAAAAAAAUAAAAAAAAAUAUAACAAAAGAGAAUAUAUAAUGUUAUUUAGCAGAAAAACAAAGGAAAGAAGGAAACUAGGGGUGGGCGUUCGGGUAUCCGUUCGGGUUUG
rnacentral:lncRNA from 1 species